ACAAAUUCUUUCUCUUUUCCUAUUUCUCUCUCUUUGUUUUGCUUUUUUUUUUUUUUUUUUUAGUCAGUCAUCUAUCUUUGGGUGAAAAAAAAAUCUCUCUUCGUUACCCUCUGUAUCUCUCAAACUUGUAAUAUUUUUGGCCUCCCUUUCUCCUGUCUAUGAACAGCCACUAACCACCACCAUCCUCACCCGGUCACCCCCAAAUCACCGCCACAAUCUCCACCCCGACAAACACCACAAUCAAAACCCACAAAAAAAAAAAAAAAAAAAAAAAAAAAAAUCAAAAAUCAAAAUAAAAAAACCACCGCAACAAAUCCAACACCACCAUUGCCGCCAUGGAUUCUUUUGCCCGAUCUAACAAUUUUAAAGUAGAAGUAGAUUUUUUUUCUUCAAUCAAUUUGGUUUGAAUCUGUUUUUUUUUUUUCCUUCCUCUGAGCAGCAAAAGAAGACACGUGUGUGUACAUAUAUAUAUAUAUAAGAGAUGAAAAAUGGAGAAAGGUUAGAGAGAGAAUAAAGGCUUUGGGCCGCUCGGGGAGGAAGAGGAAGGAGAAGGAGAAGGAGAAGGAGAAGAAUGAAAAUGAGUUGCAGAGAGGUUAGAGAGAGAGGAGAGAGAGUAAAUCCAGAAACUGCUGUGCCAUGACACAGAAAAAAUUAAUAAAAAAUUGAACUAAUACUGUAUACAAUAACAAACAAAGGCAAAAGAAGAGAGAGAGAAAGUUGGGUCGAGGGUUAAGCAAAAAGAGAAAGUUGGGUUAAGGGUUAACUGAUCAGCUUUCUUAAUGCUCCCUAAUCUAAAAAAAAACACAUCGUGCGGCUGAAAAUAGGAAACUCGUGAGUGCUAUUGCGAGCAUCCAUACUAGUUUAAAGAGUAGUGCUAUAGUGCUACUGCAAGCACUACUCUAAACCACAAAAUUACAAAUAAGUUAAAGAAUAGCGCUACUGCGAGUUUAAAGAGUAGUGCGAGAACUACUCUUUAAACUAUUUGUAAUUAUGUGGUUUUACCCUUGUAUGGUCACCAUCGAAUCUUUUUAUCAUCGCACCCACUUAUAUCCUCUCUCCACUCCAGCAGUCUUUCUCGUCCCAUCAAAACUUGUUUUGGGCAGUUGCUUUACCCCCACCCCACCAUAUAUAUAUAUAUAUAUAGACACACUAUGCUCUAACCUUAUCUCACACACACACUAUAUAUAUAUAUAUAUAUAUACACACACACACACACACACAGACACCGUGCCAAGACCCCUUCAGCCAAAACUCUCUUCAGUCUUGAUUUCAGCCGUUAGCCAAGACCCCUCAUCCACAAGUCACAGUCACAGCUUCCUCUGUACCUCACGGCCGGUAACAACCGACCGUCGAUGUACGAUGUACGUUCAGUUCAGCUCAGUUCCGUUCUCUCUCUAUGUGAUCGAGUGCAGGCUGUUGAACUGUGUGGAAGAAAGUUUGUGGGCAUGGGUGGUGUUGGCAAUAGACACUUCUUCCUCCAACCGGAAGAACAAUUCCGAUUAGAGUUUCAGAAGGGAGCAGCCUAUGGAUUCCAACAAGCAAGAUCUUGGAGUUCAAAUUUCUUCCAGUUCCAACUUAGGGACGGUGUUCAAGGAUGAUCUCCAUGGUUGGCGUUUGGAGGGAGAAGCUCAAAGUAUGAAGGAGAUAUCCCUUCUGGAAAGGAUUGUUUUGAAAAUGGAAAAGGCAAGGGAAAGAAGAAGAAGGGGCAACUGACACUUCUUCCUCCAACCGGAAGAACAAUUCCGAUCAGGGUUUUAGAAGGGAGCAGCCUAUGGAUUCCAACAAGCAAGAUCUUGGAGUUCAAAUUUCUUCCAGUUCCAACUUAGGGACGGUGUUUUUAUGCUCUUGGGGUUGCUCGCAAUUGGAGUAUCCGUGAUCUUCUAUGAUGAUGAGACAAAAUGGAAGGUAGUUCAUGAGAUCAAGGAUGAUCUCCAUGGUUGGCGUUUGGAGAGAGAAGCUCAAAGUAUGAAGGAGAUAUCCCUUCUGGAAAGGAUUGUUGUGAAAAUGGAAAAGGGAAGGGAAAGAAGAAGGGGCAACUGGUACUCAGAAGGAUGCUGGCACAGUAACUCCCGAAGUUGGCAGCAAACUGGAGGCUCGUUAUCAUUGAGUGUUGCUGUGUCUUUCUUCAUCUUUAACUUGUUUUCUUGCUUCUGUAUUGAAAUCUUGACAUUGUGUAAGAGGCAAUGAAAAUGGAAUUGUAGAGUUUUUGAAAGUUAGAAAUGGAUGGAAUUGGUAAAAGAUAA